rnacentral:tRNA from 1 species
UCCGUCGUAGUACAGUGGCUAGUAUACUUCGCUCUCAUACCAAGGCUGUUGUCCCGAAGAGACCCGGGUUCAAUUCCCGGCGACGGAA